rnacentral:sRNA from 1 species
AGAGUCUUUUGGACCAGAGCUGAGAGAAACUACAUCUCAAGGGAGCAAAGGCCACAGCCCGUGAAUGAAGUCUCUCUAGAUAGAAAUUGCAGCGUGCACUUAACUAACUGGAAAAACACAAAUGAAUUAUUUAAACUCGGUGCCUCCAUGUGUUCGGGUGGAUGUCUAUGGGCUCCUGUGGGAAUGUGGUGAAUCAGCGCUGGAAGGUUCUCUGUAAGAAGCAACCCUAAUCAAAAUUGGAGCAUUCAAGCAACUGUCUGCGUGGGUUCUAUCUAACAAGGUCUACUUAGAAGCCACAGCUGAUUAUGCCGUUCUCCUAAGCAUCUUCCAUUGGUUCCACAAUUCCUGGUGUCAACAUGAAUUAGCACAGCUCACUCUGAAGACACACACUCUUCCCGUGGCAUCAUUUAUCUCCUAAGAAAGAUACUUCGUGCAAUUUCUUCUCUGAAAAUAAAUCAAGGCUGCAAG